GAUGAACGCGUAGCGGCAGGCCUAACACAUGCAAGUCGAGGGGCAGCACGUCUUCGGAUGGUGGCGACCGGCGCACGGGUGCGUAACGGCGUAUGCAACCUACCUCUUACAGUGGGAUAGCCCAGAGAGAUUUGGAUUAAUACCGCAUAGUAUACAGAUUCAGCAUUGGGACUGUAUUAAACAUUUAUGGGUAANAGAUGGGCAUGCGUUCUAUUAGUUAGUUGGAGUGGUAACGGCACCCCAAGACAGCGAUAGAUAGGGGCCCUGAGAGGGGGAUCCCCCACACUGGUACUGAGACACGGACCAGACUCCUAC
rnacentral:rRNA from 1 species